rnacentral:tRNA from 1 species
GGUUGCACAGUGGUUAGAGCACUUGGCUGCUAACCAAAAGGUUGGCGGUUUGAACCCACUAGCCA